GCUUUAGAGAUAAAGACGGAGGUAUUCGGGGAGGACAGGUGGUGCAUGGUUGUCGUCAGCUCGUGUCGUGAGAUGUUGGGUUAAGUCCCGCAACGAGCGCAACCCCUAUUGCUAGUUACCAUCAUUAAGUUGGGGACUCUAGCGAGACUGCCAGUGAUAAACUGGAGGAAGGUGGGGAUGACGUCAAAUCAUCAUGCCCCUUAUGACCUGGGCUACAAACGUGAUACAAUGGCUGGAACAAAGGGAUGCGAAGCAGUGAUGUGGAGCGAAACCCAUAAAAACAGUCUCAGUUCGGAUUGAAGUCUGCAACUCGACUUCAUGAAGUCGGAAUCGCUAGUAAUCGCGGAUCAGAACGCCGCGGUGAAUACGUUCUCGGGGUUU
rnacentral:rRNA from 1 species